rnacentral:lncRNA from 12 species
GCGGCUGCGCCCGGCCCGCGCUGGGGGUCUCCGGGCUCUGCGGGGCCGCGCGGGCGCGACGCGCUGGGGGAGCGGGCGCCUGGCCGGUCCCCGCGCGGCUGGGCUCCGCCGGGCCCGCCUCCCACGGCCAGGGCCACGGCCACCGCCGCUGUCACACUCGCACACACGCGCGCACGCAGAUGGCAACACCGCGUUCCGGGGCCCCUGCGCAGCCCAUUGGCCGGGCGGCGGCGGUAUGCAAAUGAGGCCGCCGGGGCCGCCCACGCCUCAUUGUUGCGUGGAGACCCGGGCGCCGGGCGGCGGGGCGGCGGGGCGGCGUGGGGAGCCCCCGGGUGUGGGUCGGGGCGGGCCCACGCAGGGCUGCCUGCGGGCGGGGGCUGCGGCACGGCCACGCGCGGGGAGGGAGGGCGCACCUCUCCUGCUUCUGGGACUCGGUGCGAAACCUGCCCUAGCUCGCCCGCAGCGUGCCUCCCCCAGGCGCAGUUUGGGUGGGGGUCCGUUUUCAGGCAGGGACGCUCCCCAAGUCCGCCUAGAGGAGAACCAGCAGUUAACGGGUAAUUUGCUGAUGGAUGCAGUGCUCGCUAAGCGCAGGGGUCUCCAAGGAGCUGUGAACCCCGUGCUCCCCACCCCGGAGGAACCACCACGCGCGGGACCCCGCCCCCUCGAGGCUGUGGACAGGAGUGAGCAGAAGCAUUCUUUCUGUGGUGUUGGAGAAGGUGAAGUGAGUGAGCAACAGAGCUAAGAUCUGAGGAAUGGAGAUUGGAAAGAGCCUCCCAGACAGAAGGGAGAGUGUGUGCAAAGACCCCGUGGAUGCAGAGAGGGCACAGACCUGAAAGAAAACCAGAGUGCUGGUCCAGUUCUGAAGUCAGAGGAAAUGUGGUGUGAAAUGAAGCUGGAGCAAUAGGUGAGGCCAGACUGUCCAGAGCCUUGUGAGUUCUGUUAGAGAUCUGAGUCUGAAUCCUAAAAAUAGUGAGGAAUUGAAAACUUUUAAAGCAGUAAGCAGAUGAGUGGCUUGAUCAUGUUGGCUGCAAUUGUGGAGGAGCUGUGGCAUGGGUAGAAGUUUGGAGGGGCCCUGGGGUGGAGGCAACAUUUCAGACAUGAGACACUGGCAGAUGAGCCAAGUUCCUGGGAGGUAGAAGUGAAUGGACUCCAGAAACAUCCUCAUGCAACAGGGUGACUGGGUGAUAGGCUGAGUGAGGGAAGGAAGUGACCUUCUAGCCUUUGAGGCUGCCAGUAGCUCAGCUUCUCUCCUUCUCCCCCUGGGAAGGGGCGAAAGUAGCGUCAAAUGCUAAACUCACACUUGGGUUUUCCUUUGCCCCCAAGAUCUUGACAUGAUUCACUCUCCACUGCUUACUUCAGGUCACUGAGGCCUCACUCUGUCCAGUCUCUCUAGCUGUUCUUGGAGGGAGUCUUGUUGCCCUGUCAUUAGCUGACGUGAAGAUGCAGAGUCUGAGUCUACUCCAGAGAUUCUGAUCCCUGCUCCUGUUUCCUCACAGGGCCACUGGAUGGGAGUUGGGAGGCAAAAAAGUAUCAACUGGCAUUGUGCCAAAAUCAAGAAAAAUUAUACCAUUGUGUUUGUCAUUAUCCAUGAAUUGCCCAACACAAUCCUACUAUCCAUUCCUCUUGCUCUUCCUGGCUUAUAUACUUUGAAUGCCUCUUCAUACACACUGAUCUUGGUUUUUCUCAUUUAAUACAGAUGUAUUAAGUAGUUAUUAUAUGUCAGCACUUUCUGAAGAUGCAAGAAUGAACAAAGCAGAUCCCAAAUCUUCACAUUUUCAUGGGAGAAAGACAGACAAUAAAUUAAUGGAACAUUUUCA